GAUACAGGGGGUGAGGUUCAGAACCCACUGGGGGUAGGGCUAGAAUCUGGGACAGGACUAAAGAGACUCUGGCCCCCUUUAUCUUCGACCUGCUCUGUGUGUCUGCUGUUUCUCUCUCUGCUGUCCGGGUUGCUCUGGUGGAAGAUGCCUUACCCUGAGGUCCUAAGAUUAUCUGGUACAGGUCCAGCCUCUGGAGACAGUCUCUUGGCCCCGUUUCCUAAAUCCAUGGGAAAGGGCCUGUGGUCCAUCUUGGGUCUGGUGCUGCCUGUGGAUCGAUCAUCCAUCCCCAUGGAGACAGACUCACGGCCCCCCAGGAGCCUCCCUGUGUCCAUGGCAGCGCAGGGCCGGUGAGCAAGGGACACUGUAUAGGGGCCACUGUGAACGGGGAGACACUCUCAGAAGCUCCCACUCCAUUUGACAAACCUGGUGACUGGACAUGCCCUGCACAGGUGCCAGGAGGGGUACCAGGCGCCCUCCACCGUGAACUGCAUCUGAGUGGUCUCCCUUCACUGCUUAUUUCUGGUUUCUGCCGGCCGGUCUGAGGGUGGUAUGGCUGGCCCUUUGCAAUGAGGUGGGCAGAGUGGGGAUGCCCCACUGGCAGCUUUGGCAAGCAGCGUCUGGCAUGGCCAGGUGUUUCCUUGGGAACAUUUCCGAUCAAGUCUAAUUCUGGAAGUUGACGGGAAGUGGGCUUUGCCCGGCUCCUUCCCCUGCACCUGAGUCCAGUGAGAAGGCUGGUGGGGGGGCAGGGGGCGGCUGGAGCAGCUGUGUGUAUUCGCCUCUGAUAGCUUGGAAAGAUGUAUGCGUCCCCUGGGGUGUCCAACAUUGCGUCUGUAGACUGAGUUGGGCUCUGGCCAGCCCCGGUGGCAGUCGGGUGGAUCUGGAUAAAGUUGGGGUUGGCUGCUGCCAAGGCUGGCUGACUUCGGGAUCAGAAGGGAGGCACACCUGGACUUGAGCGUCCGCUGGAGGGGAGAGCGUGCCAGUCACCUGGUCGACACUCCCCUCCCCAGUACUCAGAAAAGAAAAGCGAGGUUCUGGGUGGUGACGGGGGUUAUACCAGGUCACCCACUGGUAGCUGAGAAGCCUUUAGAACGCAGGCCUCCUGGCUCCCAUCCCUGUCUAGAGCGUGCUUCACCAUGCCAAGCUUCUCCCUCAUCCUGAAACACUGCCCUUAUCUGUCCUCUGAGCUAACACCCCUGAGGAGCUUGCUGGCUGGGCACCUUGGCACGGUGUCCUCCUGUGUAACAUGAUAGUGAUGGUAGCCACCUUACAGGAUUGCUAGGAGCGUUGAAUGCAGCAGGACACACAGUACCCUCGUGUCAGUGCCUGGCGCAUGGUAAGCACUCAGUAAACAUUAGGUGUUACUGAGUCACAGCGAUAACGGGUAAAAUGUGUGUUCUCUUCCAAGAGGCGACACUGUGACUUACAGUCUCACUCAGCAUCUUAGAGAGGAUGCUUCCUGAGAAGUGUUCUAGGAGAUCAGAGGCCCACUGCAGGUGCUUUAAGUCUUCCAUUUGUAAAGCUUACAUACAUGGCAAUCCCCUAGGGCCCCUGUUAAAAUUCGGAUUCUGAUUUAGUAGCUCGGGGGUGGGGCCUGGGGUUCUGCAUUUCUAAUAUGCUCCCUGAUGAUGUUGGUCCUUGGGGACCAGAGUUUGAAUAGCAAGGAGGCAGGGACUGUAGAUUUCAGAUUGUACCUUGUCAGAGCUUUAACCCGGGUUGCUAAAGAAAGAAAAGCUACAGAGAAUGCUACCUGCCUGUGCCAUUUUCUCAUUUUUAAGUCAGUCUGGCUUCAUUUCUAGGUGAUGUUGGGGAUAUUGCUAAAAGUUUAUAUUCAGGAUGUGAUGAAGUACCUUAUAAUCUCAGUAGUGAGACACAGAUGUCCUAUGAAUUAUUUGCUCUCCUCGCUGGGUCACUGGAGGUGGUUUCACUCUCACCUUAAUCACGAGUCAGCUCGUUACUGAGGGUAGCUCUGUGGCAGCCAACCACCCAUAUCUAUCCUCCCCUUCCUUACUAACCAAACCUCAAUUUUAUUUGAGGCGGGAGUGUGUUAACAAAACUUUAUUUCCCAGUCUUGAUGCAGAGGAAUGGACAAUGAGAUAGAAGCAAAGUCAUUAGGUAGGGCUUACAGAAAAGGUUUUUAUUCACGGAGGAUUUACCCCACGGUCAGGUAACCGUUCCUCUUACUUCCUGCCUGGAACACAUACAGAAUGACUGGAACUCCAGCAGCCAUCUUAGGACAUGAGGCAACCUCAAGGAUGGAAGUCGCAUGGUGAGGAUGGUGGGGCAAAAACACAGAGCUGUGGCACAUUGAUGGUACCACAAGCCCUUCCCUACUUAACUCCAGACUUCCUUUACAUUAAAACAAACAAAAAAUCCGGUUGUUUCAGCCGGUAUUUGACAGGUUUCCUAUUACGUGAAGGGUGCUAAACCCAGUGGUAACUGACCCCACCAGAGCAGGUGCAGUUUAGCAGGGCAGACACGGGUUUAAAUCUGUGUCUAAAACUGUCAUUCUUCUGAGCAUCCUUUGUGGGAUCCCCUAGUCAUGUAGAGGCAGGGGAACUGGAUUGAGGGUCAGGAGCCCAGGGUGCUCAGCUCAGCUUUGCCAUUUCCUAGUGGUAGGAUCCUGUUCCUUUAACCUCAGUCCCCACUCCCGUAAAAUGGGGGCGAUGGAUGACAGAGUCCAACAUAGUUCGAGGUGCAGAACUCACUCUGCCGGUGUUGGGUGAGGGGUGGGUCUCAGGAUGAAGGAGAGGAUGCAAAGACCAGCUGGCCGCAGUGGCCGAUGCUGAUGUGAGCAGCGAGGGGCCGUGCAGGGGUGCAGCUUGGGGGCAGGCACUGAUGCACCUGUCAGUGCUUCCAUUAGAGGUGCCCACCUUGGUGCCCCGAGGGCCACGGAGCACUGCAGCCUCUGCUGGAACCGAAAGGGCUUGGACUGAGUGCCCCGUCUGCGUGAAUGAGAGGCUGGUUUUGUUCAGAGGAAGUGGGGUGGCACGAGUAGCCUUCAGCUGGCCCUUGGGAAGCCUGCCUCAGGCCUUCCUCCGCCAGCCCUGAGCUUUAAGCCGAGGCCUGCGAGGUGGCUGGCAGCAUCUCAGCUCCAGCACUGCUUUGCUGCUGAAACCCACAGGACUGUGCCCCAGCUCCUAACUUUGGGGCAGCCGGAUGGGCUGGGGGGUCAGCAGUGAGUGUGCAUACUCUCCUGCUGCCUGGAACCUGCAGUGAGAUGUCUUCAACCACAGCACAGCUGUCCACACCUCCUUCAUCCAAACCAGAGCACCUUUUUGCUGCCACUUUCUCUCAACCGUCUUCCAGACCUGAAGCCAUCUCUCUCCAUCUUCCUCUCUUGCCCACCCCAAUUCUUUACGUUGGGCACCUGCACUAUUUCCACUCACACGGUGCCAGCUGGUCCCUGGAGGGCAAAAACCAUGUCCUUACGAUGAACUGAAACUAUCAAGAGGCAUCUUAUCUCCUUGCACACAGAGAAUGGAGAGCAGAGGCCAAAAUAGGACUGCUGGCAGUUGGGGAGGGGACCUCUCACAGCUGGGCCAUGUGGGGCUCCAUCUUUCUGACCAGCCGCUAGAUGGUCUGAAAAUGCCAUUUCCUUACUGCAGCCUCUUCCUAGAUUUUUUGAUAUGAUUGAAACAAGGUCCGUCUGAGUGGACAUGGUCCACAUGGGUCAGUUUCCUUGCUCAGGGAUGACAGAGGCAACCAGCACAGGUAUGUACUUUCAAUCCCCUGCCCACCUUUUUAAAAAAAAUAGUUGUAACUAAACUUUUUAAUGGGAAAGGGCUAUGUGCACGUGGGAAUAAAAGGCAACCAGGAUAGGAGAGUAUGCGACGCACGGCCCCUGUCCCUCCACCCCAGUCCCUUCCUCACAAGCAGCUUCUGUCAGCUGAGACGUGAGCGGGGUAUUGUGCAUACUUUCUAGGACGAAAGAAGGGACAGCACAGGGGCGUGCCCUGCCCGCUCAGGGGCUGUCGUAACCAGGUCAGUGGGAGAGAACUGAGGAAAACCCAAGACAGUUAAACUGCGACCAGGGGCUUUUCUUGUGUUGCCCCGGCUGGGAGGGUUUGGAGCGGGGGCUGAGGCUGGGGGGGGUGACGGGAAGCAUUUUAAUGCUGGCUUGGAACAGACGUCAAGGCAGCACAUAGUGUGAACGAGGCCAGCCCCCUGGGGAGCGGGGCCAAGGCCUUUACCCUAAUGCUUUGGUGGGGGGAGUUUGAGAUAAGCCCAACUCAUGUGUAAAAUACCUUUAUUUGUGUAGCUGAAGAGACGGGGCUUGCCGCCUCCUGGGUGGAGACUCUGAAAUCACAGCCCUCAUAAGGAUGUAGCCUCGCGUGGGACCCCCUGUGAGACCCGCCCUGGACAAGGUGUCAAUGACAACCAUCCUGCUCCAGGCUGGUUGGUUACAUUUUCUGACCCUGGAGAAGUGGCCUUUUGUAGGAGACGUCCUGUGCAUCCCAGCAGUGCACUCACCUCUGGUCAGCAGAGCUGUAUGUAUGCUGUAGGGGUGCCCCCUAUGUGGGCUGCCUGGGUUCUCCUGUUGUGGUCAGCUGACUGCUGCUGGCAGUCUAGUAGGUAUGGCUGGCCCCUGGUCCAGUUCGUUGCCAGGCUGCUGGUUGGUAGGGCUGGGUCCUGAGACAGUUGGCUGUGAAAUCUCAGAGUGUCCUGGGGCUAGGGCUGGCCCACUGGUGGGCAGAGCUGCGUUCUGGGGGUGGGGACUGGGGUUCCCAGAUCUAGUGUUGACCUGCUGGUGGGCAGGGCCAUGCCCCAGGGGGUCCUGGGGCUGGUCCUGGGGUUAGUGUUGGCAGUCUGGUGGGCAGAGCUGGAUCCUGGUGUCCGGCUGCAGGGAUUGGGGGUCCUGGAGCUGGUGCUGGCCCACUGGUGUAUGGGGUUAGUUCUUGGGCCCUCUGGACAGGGCUGUGUCCCUGGGCAGCUGUGGGCUCAGGGGGUCUUAAGGCAGCAGCCCUGCUGGUGGGUGGGUCUGUAUCCCCACGCUGUUAGUUGCGUGGCCUGAGGUGUCCCAGUGCUAUUCCUGACAGGCUGACUGGCAGAGCAGCUAAGAAGCUGGUGCUAAGAAGCUGGUGCUAAGAAGCUAGAGAGGAUUCCAAAAUGGUGCUUGCCAGCCCCGGUGUUCUCCUGGUAGACAAGCUCCCAAAAAUGGCUGCCACAGUGUCUGUGACCCCAGUGUGAGUUCCAGUUGCCUCCUGCCUUUCUGGAAGGCUCUCCAAGAUCAGCAGUGGUAGAAGAUCUUUUCUGCUAGAUUCUAGUCUCUCUCAUCAGCAGUGGCUCUGCAAACAGUUGUAAUUUUGUUGUGCCCAUGAGAGGAGGUGAGCUCAGUGUCUUCCCGCUCUGCCAUUCGGCCAGGUCCUCAAGAGCUAACAUGUAGUGAGGCCUAACUCUGUGUCAGACCCUGUGCUGAGCACCUUACACACAUUUAAUCCUGCCAGGCUAGAAAUAGGUGCCAUUAUUCCCAUUUUGCAGAUGAGGAAGCCGAGGCACAGUGAGAUUAAGUAACUUGUCCAAAGCUGCACAGCUAGUAAGGGGUGGAAGAGCCAGAAUUUGAGCCCAGGGCAUCGAUGUGACCCACCCUGCUGCUUUGUGACAUUUGGACACCUGGGUCAGGAGCUCAGGGUGGAUCUGAGUGGUAGCUGUAGACAUGGAGUCAUCUGAGGCCAGGACAGCACUUAGGCCCCGUGGAGCCAGCCAGGAAACGUUCCCAGCAUCAAACUCGUCCUUUGCAUUAAUAAUCAGGGGUAAGUACCCACAUCUGAGGUGCCCUUGAACUUGGGGGCACUGUAGGGGACAGUGGGCUGUUUCUUAAGCAUCACUGCUCAAGCCUACAAGCCCCUCCAGGAUGCUUUGCCCAGAGGAAGGGGGAGGCGGGACGGCAUCAUCUGGUUGACAGCAGCUUUGGGACAGGCCCCCACGAAGACACGUGAGACAGCGCAGGUCCCAGUGCCAAGCAGCCCUCCAGGAGGCCAGCCCAAGGCAGGGAGGGGUGGCAGGUGUGGCAUCCAAGCUGUUCUCCGAGAGCCUUCCCCAGCAGGACUUACCCAAAGCUUACUCUUUGCUAAAGACUAAGUUUAGUGUUUGAAAAAUUCAGAUAAACCCAAAUCUUAGAAAGCUGAUGUCCUAAAGGACACUACAGGACACCUAGUUCAGUGUCCCACUUUCCAGAGGAGGACGUUGAUGCCCAGAGAAAUUAAGUGACUUGGUCAAAAUUGUCCAGUUAGAUGUCGUGGCAGGGCCACCACUUCGUCAUACAAUGAUCCAAGGGUGGACACACCAGGUCCUCUACCUGUUGAGAAUGUGUAGCCAUGACCCUCUUCGUAAAGAUGAUCUUACGAUGGCCAGUUUCCUUCCGUCUUGCAGGCCAGAGCCUGUUGGGGCUGUUCUUAUUCUAGUCCUUUCACUCCCCUAGGCAGCUGCAGUCAAGUUCUGACUUGUUAAGGUCAGAGAAUUCUGGAGUGAGGAGACGGCAGAAUGAUGGAGAAGCUCUUAGCCUGCAACCUGCAAUCCUUUCUGUAAACCGCUUGCUGUCGCUCUCUGCUGUGGCCCCGCCAGCUUGGCGUCCCUCUUCCUGCACAGCCGGUGGCUGUUACAGCAGAACACAGGCGAGUGCUCUGAUACAAAGACAAACUAUGUACAGACACCCGGGAAGCAACUGGAAAAAAGCAACCGGUUUGGGGAUCAACAGACAACUGGGAAGAAAAAGUUGUUUAAGGUGACCUUCGCCCACUGGCUGUGCACAGGGAGAGCCUGAAAUUCCAUUCACCGAAGCACACACCAUGAUUUUCAUUCGGCAAAUAUAAAUACACGUUGAUAAGCAGGAGAAAAAUAAGCUCGGAGGUUUUCAUCACAUCAACCGUCACGUCGUUUGGUUUCUCUAAUCUGACAUAAAGGCUAAAGUUUUACAGAGCUUUGAGGGCCUUUGGGGAGGAAAAUAUCAACAAUUUCGAAACAGUAAGUAGGCUGAUGGCCAUCUCUUCCGUCAUGGAUGGGGUGGGGACUUUGGGGCGAUUUGAUUUCGAGAGGGGAA